rnacentral:rRNA from 1 species
UUGGACGGUCAUAGCGGUGUGGAACUACCCGAUCCCAUUUCGAACUCGGAAGUAAAGCGCACCUACGUUUCAAGUUUUACUGCAUUUCAUGCGGGAACCUUGGAAAGCUGUCCGCC